rnacentral:rRNA from 1 species
UGCCCUAGUAACGGCGAGUGAAGCGGCAACAGCUCAAAUUUGAAAGCUAUUCGGGUUCGCAUUGUAAUUUGUAGAGGAUGAUUUGGGGAAGCCGCCUGUCUAAGUUCCUUGGAACAGGACGUCAUAGAGGGUGAGAAUCCCGUAUGUGACAGGAAAUGGCACCCUAUGUAAAUCUCCUUCGACGAGUCGAGUUGUUUGGGAAUGCAGCUCUAAAUGGGAGGUAAAUUUCUUCUAAAGCUAAAUAUUGGCGAGAGACCGAUAGCGCACAAGUAGAGUGAUCGAAAGAUGAAAAGCACUUUGGAAAGAGAGUUAAAAAGCACGUGAAAUUGUUGAAAGGGAAGCGCUUGCAAUCAGACUUGUUUAAACUGUUCGGCCGGUCUUCUGACCGGUUUACUCAGUUUGGACAGGCCAGCAUCAGUUUCGGCGGCCGGAUAAAGGCUCUGGGAAUGUGGCCUCCACUUCGGUGGAGGUGUUAUAGCCCAGGGUGUAAUACGGCCAGCCGGGACUGAGGUCCGCGCUUCGGCUAGGAUGCUGGCGUAAUGGUUGUAAGCGACCCGUCUUGAAACACGGACCAAGGAGUCUAACAUCUAUGCGAGUGUUCGGGUGUCAAACCCCUGCGCGUAAUGAAAGUGAACGGAGGUGGGAACCCGCAAGGGUGCACCAUCGACCGAUCCUGAUGUCUUCGGAUGGAUUUGAGUAAGAGCAUAGCUGUUGGGACCCGAAAGAUGGUGAACUAUGCCUGAAUAGGGUGAAGCCAGAGGAAACUCUGGUGGAGGCUCGCAGCGGUUCUGACGUGCAAAUCGAUCGUCAAAUUUGGGUAUAGGGGCGAAAGUCAUC